rnacentral:rRNA from 1 species
CAGUUGGAAACGACUGAUAAUACCGCAUAAGCGCACAGUAUCACAUGAUACAGUGUAGAAAAACUCCGGUGGUACAAGAUCGGUCCCGCGUCUGAUUAGCUUGUUGGCGGGGUAAUGGCCCACCAAGGCGACGAUCAGUAGCCGACCUGAGAGGGUGACCGGCCACAUUGGGACUGAGACACGGCCCAAACUCCUACGGGAGGCAGCAGUGGGGAAUAUUGCACAAUGGAGGAAACUCUGAUGCAGCGACGCCGCGUGAGCGAUGAAGUAUUUCGGUAUGUAAAGCUCUAUCAGCAGGGAAGAUAAUGACGGUACCUGAGUAAGAAGCUCCGGCUAAAUACGUG